rnacentral:ncRNA from 1 species
AUAUAUAAAUUAUACGUGUUUGAUAAAUAGCCAAAUGUCUCAUCAUCUGAUUAGUGACACGCAUGAAUGGAUGAACAAGAUUCCCACUGUCCCUACCUACUACCCAGCGAAACCACAGCCAAGGGAACGGGCUUGG